AGGAAUUAUGGUUGAGGACCAUCUCCAUUCAGCAGAGCUUCAUGGAAGAAGACGAUGCAAAUCCCCAGCAUCUUCAGGGUUGUGCUACCUUCUUGUGAGAUUGCAUUCAUUUGCUUUAUAUAGACUUUUAUUUCUGAAUAUUCAUCUAUUUUUUCCUGUUCUAUCAAAUGGAUAUCAUGAUUCAGAGGUUUAAUCUCAUUAGAUUGUAGCUAAAUCUGGCGCAAUAAUGUCGAUUCUAUGAAUCAUUCCACUCAUUAAGUACGCCUUUUACAUCCAGAACACAGCCAUUAACCAGAACCCUUGCCAUUUUUUCCCUGACAAUUGUCCGCCUGAAUCCUACGCCAACUUCUACAACGCAGAUAAAGAGGAAUAUUACGGCAGGUUGAGGAGCAAUUUAAAAUAGUCUAAUUAUGAUAAUGGAACUGAAUAGAAUGGAAUUGGUACAGAGAAUUCAUGUAGUUGACCUAACUAAUUUGGGAUUGAGGCGUAGUUGAUUUACUUAUAGUUUUCUCUUUAGUUAUUGAUCUCUGCUGAACCUCUCACUUGUCGCUGUGAUGGAUCAGCUGAAAGCUUUGGUUCUUGGCUGUUGAUGUUUAUUUUGAAAUUUAGCUCUCAAAAUCCUUGUCAUAUGCAUCAACCAGAAAGGUUCUCAAAUGGCCUUUUGUACAAGGAGCUUGUGUACUUCCUUAGCACCCCCGAUUUGGAAGAAAGAAGAUCCUCCUUUGCUUCCAUGGACGUGUAUUCGAUGAGGUGGUCUACAAAUUCUUUACCAUCCUAACUGUGAUUAGCAUGCUUGGAGGACUAAUAGAUCAGGUA